CCUACGGGAGGCAGCAGUGAGGAAUAUUGGUCAAUGGACGAGAGUCUGAACCAGCCAAGUAGCGUGCAGGAUGACGGCCCUAUGGGUUGUAAACUGCUUUUAUAGGGGGAUAAAGUGUGCCACGUGUGGCAUAUUGCAGGUACCCUAUGAAUAAGGACCGGCUAAUUCCGUGCCAGCAGCCGCGGUAAUACGGAAGGUCCGGGCGUUAUCCGGAUUUAUUGGGUUUAAAGGGUGCGUAGGCGGCCUUUUAAGUCAGCGGUGAAAGUCUGUGGCUCAACCAUAGAAUUGCCGUUGAAACUGGGGGGCUUGAGUAUGUUUGAGGCAGGCGGAAUGCGUGGUGUAGCGGUGAAAUGCUUAGAUAUCACGCAGAACCCCGAUUGCGAAGGCAGCCUGCUAAGCUGCAACUGACAUUGAGGCUCGAAAG
rnacentral:rRNA from 1 species